rfam:Myotis lucifugus cont2.2175, whole genome shotgun sequence.
UGUGCAUUUGGGGGGUUCCCUCAGCCCAGAUUGUGAGAGGGUGCAGGCCAGGCCGAAGGACCCCACCAGUGCACG